CGUCGUUCAGCGUCGGCGUCGUGACGCCCGGAAUGAAAAGAGGGAUUCAGUUACUGUUCGACCUUAACGCGUUUCGCGUUUCGCGUUUCGCGUUACACUUCUAACUCGCAAUUUAUUUUCUUUUUAUUACAAUAAUACAAUAAUAGAAAGAAAAAAGCAAAAAAAAAAAACACACCUCCGCAGUUUCAUUUAAUGUCAUUUAAAUUGCAUCAAAUUUCAUUCGUUUAUUUUGUGUGUUUGUGUGUGUGUGUGUGUGUAUUAAUAUCAGUAAAAUCAGAGGACUGAUACAUUUGAACGAAUAAAAAAAGAAGCUGAUUAGAAAAUUGAAAUGAAAUGUUGUUUGUUUCAUCGUCAUGCAUUGGUGUUAAUUGAAAUAAUACAAAAAUAUAAAAGUGAAUAGGAGGAAAAAGAGGAGGAGUAGGAGGAGUAGGAGGAAGGGAAGGAGGAUAAUUUGAUCCUCUGUUCUCAUUUUCUAAUUUUAUUUGUGUUUUUUUUUUGUAAACUUGAAUUUCUUCAGGUUUGCAAUUCAAACAACAAAAGUAUAUAUAUAUAUAUAUUUGCAAUAAGGUUUUUUUUAUAUUUCAUGUGAGUGUAUAGGUGUAGUAUAGGUGUAUGUUGGUGUAUACGUGUGUUUAUUAUUUAAUUUAAAAUUUAAUAUAUAUAUAUAUAUAUAUAUACAACAAAUUGGUGAAACUUCCAGAACAAAUUGCACUAAGAUACAAACAUUUUAUUUGUUUUACAAUCUGAUUGAGUAUAAAUCACUUGUUGGUAUUCAAUAACAGAAAACUUGGAAAGGGUUGUUUUUGAAUUAUCGAGCAAUUUUUUUUUUAUUUAAAAAAAAUAGUAUGAGAAACAACAAAUUGAAAGAUUGAGACAGUGUUUUGUUAUACAACAGGUCUCAAUAGAAAAUAAAUCCGUGAAUUGUUGUGUGGUGGUGGUGUUUUACUUGGAUCAUAAGUUAAUCAAUUUUUUGGGGAUAAUUUCUACUAAGUGUUGGUACUACGAAUAAACAAAAACAAAAAAAAAAAAGAUCGUAAAAAAGGAAAAAUUUUUAUUAAAUAACAAAAGUGAUCACAUCGAAACAAUAUUUGUCUCAUUGAUUUGAAAUUGAUUGAAAGUUUUACAAAAAGACCCUCCCAUCAUCAUCAUCAUCGUCGGUGUCGAACUGUCCUUAAACUCCAACUAAUUGAAGAAGUGGAUACAAAUGGUUACGGGAAGAAUCCAUCUUGAAUUAGUGAUAAAAUAAAUAAUAAAAAGGACGAAUUUUGUUUCGUUGUUUGUAAUUUGUUAAUCCUCGAAGAAGAAGAAAAACGACGAAGAGCGGAUGCUGCGUACGAAGAGAGUUACGCGAUUAAGAAGACAACGAGGACGACGCCGACGAGGAGGAGGAGGAGGUGGAGGAAGAGGAAAAGGAGGAGGAGGUGGUGGAGGAGGAAGAACUCGCGGUACCAAAGAGAGUCACUGACCUCUCGACCGAUUAAAGUUCAGAUUGUGUGAUGUUUGAUGCUGCAGUGGUGCUUUAUGCGGAGGCGACGAAAAGACUAACAAUGCGAUGAAUUUCCGUUGACAUUUAUGGAGAGAAAGAGAGAAAGGAAGGUGAUGAUGGUGGAACUUUGACUCUCAUUUAUAUUAUUAGUUGAGAUCAUAUUCAGGUAUCGUAUCUUUAAAUUCGUAACGAGAACUCACGUACCGUU